UCGUGUCCCUCUUGUCCACAG
rnacentral:miRNA from 1 species